GAUGAACGCUAGCGGCAGGCUUAACACAUGCAAGUCGAGGGGCAGCACGGAAGUUAGCAAUAACUUUUGGUGGCGACCGGCGGACGGGUGCGUAACGCGUAUGCAACCUACCUUUCACAAGGGGAUAACGUGGGGAAACCCGCACUAAUACCCUAUAAUAUUCGGGACGGCAUCGUUUCGGGUUGAAAAUUACGAUGGUGAGAGAUGGGCAUGCGUAACAUUAGUUAGUUGGAGAGGUAACGGCUCACCAAGGCUACGAUGUUUAGGGGGACUGAGAGGUUAACCCCCCACACUGGAACUGAGGCACGGUCCAGACUCCUACGGGAGGCAGCAGUGAGGAAUAUUGGUCAAUGGAGGGAACUCUGAACCAGCCAUGCCGCGUGCAGGAAGACGGCUCUAUGAGUUGUAAACUGCUUUUAUGCGAGGGUAAAAAUGGGCACGUGUGCCCAUCUGAAAGUAUCGUAUGAAUAAGGAUCGGCUAACUCCGUGCCAGCAGCCGCGGUAAAAC
rnacentral:rRNA from 1 species